rnacentral:rRNA from 1 species
GAUGAACGCUGGCGGCGUGCUUAACACAUGCAAGUCGAACGGACAGGCCCUGCUUUUGUUGGGUGCUUGUUUGGCGAACGGGUGAGUAACACGUGAGUAACCUGCCCUUGUCUUUGGGAUAACUUCUGGAAACUCGGGCUCAUACCCGAUAUGACCUCCUGCUCCAUGGUGGGGGUUGGAAAGUUUCGGUCGUUGGGGAUGGUCUCGCGGCUUAUCAGCUUGUUUGUGGGGUAGUGGCUUACCAAGGCUUUGACGGGUAGCCGGCAUGGGAGGGUGAACGGGGACAUGGGGACUGAGAGACGGACCAGAAGCCAACGGGAGGCAGUAGGGGGGAAUAUGACAGAACGGGGGGAAGCCUGAUGAAAAAACGCCGGGUGCGUGAUGACGGCCUUCGAGUGGAAAACCGCUGUGGAAGGAGAUGAAGAGGGAGUGACGGUAAUGGGUAAAGAAGCACCGGCUAACUACGUG